rnacentral:rRNA from 1 species
AUUGAACGCUGGCGGCAGGCCUAACACAUGCAAGUCGAGCGGAUGAAGGGAGCUUGCUCCUGGAUUCAGCGGCGGACGGGUGAGUAAUGCCUAGGAAUCUGCCUGGUAGUGGGGGAUAACGUCCGGAAACGGGCGCUAAUACCGCAUACGUCCUGAGGGAGAAAGUGGGGGAUCUUCGGACCUCACGCUAUCAGAUGAGCCUAGGUCGGAUUAGCUAGUUGGUGGGGUAAAGGCCUACCAAGGCGACGAUCCGUAACUGGUUUGAGAGGAUGAUCAGUCACACUGGAACUGAGACACGGUCCAGACUCCUACGGGAGGCAGCAGUGGGGAAUAUUGGACAAUGGGCGAAAGCCUGAUCCAGCCAUGCCGCGUGUGUGAAGAAGGUCUUCGGAUUGUAAAGCACUUUAAGUUGGGAGGAAGGGCAGUAAGUUAAUACCUUGCUGUUUUGACGUUACCAACAGAAUAAGCACCGGCUAACUCCGUG